UCUCAUGUCUGAUGAUCCUGUUUCCAAGA
rnacentral:piRNA from 1 species